GCGGUAUGCUUAACACAUGCAAGUCGAACGAUGAGAAAGAGCUUGCUCUUUCGAUUAGUGGCGGACGGGUGCGUAACGCGUGGGAACCUACCUUUCGGUGCGGAAUAACUUCGGGAAACCAAAGCUAAUACCGCAUACGCCCUACGGGGGAAAGAUUUAUCGCCGAUAGAUGGGCCCGCGUCGGAUUAGCUAGUUGGUGAGGUAAUGGCUCACCAAGGCUACGAUCCGUAGCUGGUCUGAGAGGAUGAUCAGCCACACUGGGACUGGGACACGGCACAGACUCCUACGGGAGGCAGCAGUGGGGAAUAUUGGACAAUGGGCGCAAGCCUGAUCCAGCCAUGCCGCGUGAGUGAAGAAGGCCUUAGGGUUGUAAAGCUCUUUUAGUGGGGACGAUAAUGACGGUACCCACAGAAUAAGCCCCGGCUAACUUCGUGCCAGCCGCCGCAGUAA
rnacentral:rRNA from 1 species